AGAAAUGCCUCCAUGAGAUACAGCUGUAAGGCAUUUUCUCAAUUAGUGUUCAAUGGGCCCAUCCCAUUGUGGGUGGUGCCAUCCCUGGGCUGGUAGUCCUG
ensembl:miRNA